GUUUACGGCCAUACCAGCCUGGGUACGCCCGAUCUCGUCUGAUCUCGGAAUCUAAGCAGGGUCGGGCCUGGUUAGUACUUGGAUGGGAGACCGCCUGGGAAUACCAGGUGCUGUAAGCU
rnacentral:rRNA from 1 species